GGGAUGGAAUGGUGUGUGUGUAGGGGGCCAUUUGAAAUUUUAAAUGGGUGCUGAGGAUGUCACUGAAGUGAUAUUUGAGUCAAGAUCCAAAGGAAAUGAGGAACAAGCUAGUGUGCUAUGGGAGAUGAGGAAACUGAGACUCAAGACCCAAGGCCACGGCACUAGCAGGUGGAACAGCUGGAAUACAAAGCAUCCCACAAAUGAGGCUAAAAAUGAAGAAAGAAUUGGAGGUGGGAAGCAUCUUCUUCAUAAGAAGAGGGAUCCAGAAGACCGUCUGAGGCUCACUGAAUGCAGUUCCCCUCUUAGAAGGAUGUGGUGCUUGGAGCUGUGGCAGCCUUCUUGCCACCAUGAGGAAAAAGCCAAGAAGACAGCAGAGAUGCUGACCCAGAGCCUGGAAACUGUUGAGCCACUGAUCUAACCCUGUACCUAACUGCCAACUGGUAGACUUUCUGUCAAAAUAUUAAAAGUCCUUAUUGUUUGAGCAACUUUUAGUCAGAUAUUCUGUUACACGUAUCCCAAAGCAUUCAAACUAAUACAUCAGGGAAACUUCUAAUUUGACCUUCUCUCUUUCCUCUUUCUUCCCUGCCUUAACCCAGGGGACUCAAACUUGAUGUGAGCAGGGGCCAGUGUGGUAAUAGGGAAAGGGGAAACUGGCCUGGUCUAAGAGAAGGAAAUUGGAGCAUGAGUGUUCCUUGUAAAGGGGCUGGUGCUGGCUACGCAGCUCCAGCUGCUGGUGGCCAUGAAGGAAGGCUAGCACCAUGUGGCCAGAUGUUUCUCUUUUUCAAGAGAAAUUGGAAAACUGUAUUUUUGAAUUUUUUUAUACAAAAGUGUUUAAAAUUUUGUAUUUAAAUUUUAAAGAAGGAGACUGUAUGAACCAAACCAACAUAUCUGAGUAGUAUGUAUAGUCCAGCAGUCACACAUUUGGGACCUGGCCUUCACCUCAGAGUUCUAUCUCUCCCUGGCCUUGAUCUCAAGUGUGGGCUGUCAGUGACUUCUCUCAGACUGUGCGAUGGGGUGGGGCUGUGCUUGUGGCCUGGGUGAUAUAGGGACGGGAGAUACAGGAUGGGGGAAGGAAGGACAGAGGACAUAACUGUGGCCCGCCAUUAAGGUGGAACGUCUGUAAGACAACAAACCUUUACCCUGGGAUAAAGCUUCUCUCCGCAUAGUCCUGGGUGUGAUUUGCUAAAAGGGCCACGUCACUUUCUCCACUAAGUCCCAUGACCAGAGGCCCACUUCUCUUAUCCAAAAGCAUCUCUAUGGCUCAGGCUCUAAGAAUGAGGGCAAGGAGAGUCUGUUUCACCAAACAGCCAUGAGGCUAGGAAGCUGGAGGUAACCUGCGAAAUCGCCAUCCUGUAUGACUUCAUCAGUGCUGUAGAGACACAAGUUUUGUCUGGGAGCAAGAUUCCUUAAUCCCAUUUAACCCAAUAUAUGCUCAGUUCUUUUCAGCAAAAUAAAAACAUCCCAUGGAAAAUCCAAGGACGCUGUCUGCAGAGGAGGCUUUCACUGAAGUACCAUUCCCCUGCCAUGCUAAGAGCGGUUUGGUAGGUGGGAAAGCUCAAACGCGUCCCCCCAGGGAAGGCCUGGGCAGCUACAGACAUUGUAGACCCUUGCUAAACUAACUUUCCACGGGCCUGGGGGCUCUGCUCCUCCAGGGCGAGUCCAGAGUCCUGGUCCCUGCGUGACCCAGAUCGGUUGCUUAAUUUAAGUCUACAGGCUGUAAAAUUGGAAAUCUUCAUGUCUGCCUCUCGGUCAUCAAAUUACAAAGUUUUUGGAGUGCCUUUGUGGAGAGGCAUCAAAGAGCAAAGACGCAGUUCAUGCAGUGUUCUGUGUACAGCCCGUGAUGCCCCUCGAUGACAAGAGAGGAUGAGUCACCGCCAGCUUCGGGGACUGAGAGGGAACGUCAAUGAAGUCAUGAAUAAUAGGUGCUGUACUAACACCUAAGAAGGUUAAGGGCAGGAAUUAGUUGGCAGGGAAGAAAACAGAAUGCGGGGGAGGCCAGCCACAGUCCUCCAGAGCUUCUGGAGCUCAUUGCCAUCUGGCCGCAGAGCCAAGAAAACAGAAAAUUUCUUUCCUUUUAAAGGAAAAACAUGUGGGGGUGUUGGAGAGAGAGAUCCUUCUUCAAGGACAGAGAGGUGGACUUGAUGGCCUCUGGGAGGCUUUAUCGUGGCUGAGGGGGCUGGCAGUCAGAAAUCGGUGAAUUCGAGCACUUCUCUGAGCUUUCUGGGCUCUUGAGAAGGAAGAUUCCGCAGAAAGAAAGAGUCCAACGUUGGCCACUUCUAGGUGGACCCCAACGUCCCAGAAGUGAUAAGCAACCUUAGGAUGUGCUUCAACCCACACCAUCUAGGUAGUGAGCGGUUCAGAAGACAUUUCUUGCCCUCUGCGCUAGAAGCAAGAGGCAAGGUUAGAGAGCUGGUGGUUGUGUUUCCACGGGCCUGCCAAUCAAAUACUUUCCUGGUGAUUCCUUCUGGGAGGACGAGAAAAUGAUGAUCAUCAAGAAAAUGACCAAAUGCCUCACCAUCUGAUGGUAUCUCCACUUACUUGUCAGUCUAAGUUAAACAGAAAAAUCUCAGUGAGGGCAAGUUUAGAAGCCUGUAGACUGUCUAAGAGGACAGGAGAUGACACCAUCCCUAUUGCUUCCACUGUGAUGGAUGUUGCCGCCUCAUCAACUAUGACGUGUAGAUUGAGGGGUUCUUGGCCAAGACAAGAAAGUGAAUAACAACAAAGGUUAGGUUGCCAUAGAUUGGGUUCUCUAGAAGCAGGUGCAGAAACAGGGCUUGGCCUUAGGGAUUAACACUGGUGGAAAGAGAGUGCAGUGGGAAAGGCCAAAAAGAAUAAACUUCUGGGUUUUUUUUUUUCUUGGUGAGGAAGAUUGGUCCUGAGCUAACAUCUGUUGCCAAUCUUCCUCUUUUUGCUUCAGGAAGAUUGUCCUUGAGCUAACAUCUGUGCCAAUCUUCCUCUUUUUGCUUCAGGAAGAUUGUCCUUGAGCUAACAUCUGUGUCAAUCUUCCUCUAUUUUAUGUGAGAUGCCAUCACAGCAUGGCUUGAUCAGUGGCAUGUGGGUCCACUCCCAGGAUCCAAACCUGCAAACCCCGAAGCAGAGUGUGCAAACUUAAUCACUACGUCACCAAGCUGGCCCCUAAUAUUCUGUUGUUUUAAGCCAUUCAGUUUGUGGUAGCUUGUUAGUGCAGUCCUAGGAAACCAACACAGACCCCAACUUUCAGCUAUCUUGAGUCACCCAGCUAUUUUCUGACAGGCCAGCUCCUUGCCAGCCUCAGGUCUUUGAUGAUGUUGUGCUGGAUACACAUCAUAUUUAUAUUUAAUGCAUGCAAAUUUAACUAUUUAUUUGGCAAAAAUAAAGAGAGGUAGGCUAAUUGAUUGAGAGAGAGAGAGAGGCUGGGAGCAAGAGUGAAUUAGUGAAGCUGCUGGGGCCCGCUCUGCCCGCUCUGCCCGUGGUCAGCGGUGAGUGGAGUGGGCAGGAGCCAUGGAAGGCCUGCUCCUUCUCUCUGCUCCCAGGGACCUUGUGCUACGUGUGAGGUCAGCAUUUAAGAAUUCAUAUUCUUCAUACAACAAGCCACCUUAAAGCAAGCUCGCAGACAUAUCUGGUGCUCAGCUGAAGCAACAGCAAUUGCUUUCAGGACGAGAGGAAACACCAGUUGUGUUGGAUUUCUUGCGAGAUAGUAUGUCAUUCUCCAACGUGGUCCCUGCUGGACAGAUUUGCAAGGGUGCUUUUGAUUACUAUCUAGUUAUGAUUUUCUUUUGGCUUUAUGCAUUGAUUUUAGAACCCAAAUGCUGAGUGAGACUUGAUUCCUUCAAAUUCACUUUGCUUGGAAUUCCCCGGCGUGCUUCAACAUGCCACAUUUUCCAAAAAAUUCUCCCUUCGUGCCCUCAUCGGUGUUGAAUUUCUAGCUUCUUCAAACUUCCAUAAGUUUUCCGUCCAUCUUCUCAAUGUAUCUUCACUUACAGGAACUUGUGCACAUAGCAGCCUCCAUUAUAGAUUGCAUACAGCCAUCUCCGUUGAGAUUGGGGGCUAGAUAUCUUUGAACCUCUCCAAAGACUGGAUGGAUGGAUUGAUGGAUUGAUGAAGGAAUAAACUGAUGAGUUUAUAAAUUUCAGAGAAAAAGCAAAUGGAAACUAAUAACUGCGGUAAAGAAAGCCUGACUACACUGACACUGCCUAAUGUGAGUUUGGAUACACCAAGUGAGACUCAGAUUGACAGGUGACUCCACACUCUUACAGGCAGCUGGCUUCCUUUCUCUGUCGACUUAAAAAAAGGCCAGGCAUGGGGGCACCCCUUUAACCCACUGGCACUAGGAUACGUCUGUCUGUCUGUAUCAUCUGUAUUGCAACUCAGCUUGCUUGUCAGUUUCUCAAACAACUCUUCCUUGCACCUCCCAAUCUAAAUGAGGCCCCCUCCUCUCUGUCGUAUGCUAUCAUGGCUGCUUCUUUUUUCUCUUCAUAGCAAUUGUCAUAGUUUGAAGCCAUAUUGAUAUUUUUGUGACUUUUAGCUUAAUAUCUUUUAUACUCUCCCACCUCCUGGCUGACUUUAAACUCAAGAAAGGUCAGAUUCGUGUCUGUUUUCUUAACCCUGGUGAUCCAGUGUCCAGCUCAGCGCCUGACAUACCACUACAGCUACCCAUGUCUAGUGUGAAUCGGGGAGGACAUGUGUAUAUCUUCUGGGCUAACCCCUCAGCCUGCGCAGAAAUGUCUCCUACAGCUACUCUGAGUUAGUUCUCCAGAUCCUUCUGGAACACUCUGGCAAUGGGGACUCACUAACUGUUCUGACUGGGCAACUCUAACUGUUGGGAUGCUCUUUCUUACACGAAGCCGAAAUCCACUUCUGUGGUACUUCCACCUGUGGACACUUGUUCUGCCCGCAGCAGUUUAAGAGAAUUUUGGUCCCUCGCACUUAGCUCUGAAAAGAGUUCCCAAUUGGAUGACAGCUUCUGGCUCAGCAAUAGCGCCAACUUCUGGCCAAACCCUAGUGUACAGGUAUCCCCAUUAAACUGUGACGUGCAUAUCUGGAAACAAGGCUUUCCAGGCGCAACGAGUGCAGGGUGGAGAAGGGGGCGAUCUUUCAUCUCCAUAUCCCUGGGGAUUGAUGCGCUCCUUGUUGCUGAAAUCGAGUGAUUUCAUAGUGGUC
rnacentral:lncRNA from 1 species